UCGGCACCCGCGGGCAUUUCGGCACCCGCGGGCAUUUCGGGACCCCCGGUCCGGCCCGGCUGCUUCAGCAUCCCCCUGUCAGGGAAAUGACUCUUCCGAAACGCCCAUUGGAUCACCCGGCAUCAGUAACUACUGUGACUGAUCACAGGAUCAGUUCGGUUGGAAGAGCCUUCUGAGGUCACCGAGCCCGAGCUGUGACCGAACGCCACCGUGUCCAUAGACCGGCCGUGUCCAGCCUUUCCUUAAACGCCUCCAGGACGGUGACUGCAGCACCUCCCUGGGCAGCACAUUUCGAUAUCUAAUCGCCCUUUCUGUGAAGAAAUUCCUCCUAAUGUCCAACCUGAACUUCCCCUAGUGCAGAUUAAGACUAUACUGUUUCUAGAAUGAUUACUCAUCCGAAUAAGAACCCGGGUGUUCCUCCCUGGCUGAAUCUCUGCUUUUGCACAGCUGGAGAAACCACUGCUGGUGGAUGUUCUGUACACAGGUCCUGAGCAGCGACAUCAGGAGGGCAGUGGGAAACUCCCAGCUCCAUGUCAAGCCUUUGCUGAGCAGUUUAAAAUGCUUUUGUCUUUUCAUGUGGUUUUAGACAAAUGCAAGAUCAACAGCCUGGCUAUGGAAUUCCUUCUGGACAUAAAGUAGCCAAAUCAGUGGGAAAUUGUAUUUUUGUUCAGUUCCUGUAACAAUCCCUGCAUUGCUGAAGUUGUUCUAUCAUUCACUGUUGGGCUUCGUCCUUCUUGAUCUAAUCAAUUAUUACUGGGUUGUAAUCUACCUCACCAACAUUUUUUAUUCCUCUUCUCCAUUAACACAAUGAAAACAGUAGCCAGUAGUGGAUCAGAAGUGGUAGGAAGAAGGCCUCAGAAAUGCCCUAAUGAAGUUAUAAUAUAUUUAAUGUACUAACAUGAUGUGAAGAAUUAUGUAGAAAUGUAGUGGUUAAGAUAAAAUAACUUUGAAAUUCUUAUAAGUUAGGGCAUAUUAAGAAAUACUAGUAUGUUUUUGUCUGGGUAGGCUACAACCUGCCUUAGGGUUGAGAAGCAGAACUGCAAGGAAGUGGCAGAGUGCUCAGCAUGAACAUGAGCUCAGAGGGUCUCUGCUCCUUUCUUACAAAGCCUUAACUUAAUGAACAUUCAAAGGAAAAGUCUCUAAAACUUUACUGGUGUUCCUUAAUCUCUUCUUGACGUUGCCCAUGUUGUCCACAUUAGAGUACUAGCAAUCUUUUCUUUUUACUCUUUAGUUGACAUCAGCCCUAAUUUAUAUAUAUUUAUAUAUAAAGCCAAACAUAAUUUGUAUAUAUUUUAUUCUAUAUUUUAACUAAUGGUCUGCACAGUCGGCAGACACUCCAAUGGUUGGUCCAGUAAUAAUUAAUAAUUGGAAUACUGUGAUUGGCUUUUAAACAAAAUUAUUAUAUACUAAGACUUCAAGUGCUCCUUAUACAACAUGAUUGUGGUUAUCACUUAUCUCCUGUGUAUUUAAGCAUACCUGUGCUACCCCUGCAGUCACUGUUCAGAGGGGAAGUUCCAGGCUUUGCAGCACAACAAGAAUAUGUGUGUGUCACCUGUGCCCUUUGUGGUGAGAGGAGUGUGGCAACCACCUAUUUCAGCAUACCAUCACAAAAGAAAUAGUGAUAUUUUUGCAGUGAGAAGGUCUUAGCAGCUGCUUUGUCACAAGCUGAGUAUCAUCAAACAUGGACUUUAAUGACAGUGGUGUCUGAAAAGUUUCCUGCUUCCCAGCUGUCUUGUACAAGUCCAUUUCCCCUCGGACCACACCCUCAGCUGUGCUGUCUGUGGAGCAGCAUGGUGAAACGAAACAGGGAAUAAGUUAAAAAUAGUCUUGUUUCUGUUUUGCUAGGAGGUUUAACUCUGAUCAAUUCACUGAUCCAUUCCUUUGGAGGUGUCCAGAAGUGAGGGAAGAACCACAAUCCCAGGCAGUGGAAAGCCUCCAGGCAAUGGAAGUACACCCUUUGGGACUGGUAAAUCAGAAAUCUGUUGCUGGUUUUCAAAACAGGAUGCCAGGGCUGGGGCAAAUGUAUAACAUCUGUGCUGCCUCAGUCAUAAAAGGCUUUAACGCUACAAAAUCUUUUCCUUUUUUUCCUCGUCACAAGCCUCAUUUCUAUUUUUGUUUUAGCAGUUUAGAGUAGCAAGGCUUGGUAUUUGAUUUCAGCUCGGGGAGGGAGCACUGAGCAGGGAGAAGGCAUGAAAACCUGCUCUAGAAGCAAAUUUAAACUGGGUUUUUAAGUAAGGUUUAAUACUAGGAAGCUUAAUACUUUACUUUUUUACUCCUUUAUUUUCAUGUGGUAACCAUCUCUUCCCACCCAACUGUCCUUCCGUCUCACACUGCUAUGAAUUAGAAGUAUUUCAAAUAAAAUCCUCCUUCCUCAUAGGAUUAGAUUAUAUUUGGGAGAUGUGUCCCUUUUUGUAAUGCCAUUUUACAAUGUCACCUGUGUCGAGUCACAUGUUGGAGGAAUUACAAUGCGAACCUUCUGGUGAACUGUUUGUCCUUCAGAGAAACUGCUCUGAGCAGGCAGCCUCUUCUCUGCUUUUCAAUCCCAGCUGAUGAGCCAAUUUGCCAAGCAGCAUUCUAAGGCAGGUAAAGGAGUGCAUGAAGUGAAACCCAUCAGGCUGCAGGGGAUUGUUCAACAAGCCAGCCACAGGAGUUCAUGCUUCAUGCAUCACUGUUCACACCUCUGUUACCAACAAAACUUUGGGUGAAUUCCACAGAACAGAUGGAUGGCAUAUUUAAAACACUGUGUUUGAAGAAGUACUUAAGAUUUUAAGGAUGGAGGUGGAGUGAAUCUAUAGAAACAGUCAUUAAAUAAUUACCUGGCUGGCAGGGAGGGUUACAGAACACUGUUGUGGCUUUACUUCACUUUAACACCACCUUUAGGAUAUAUGAGACUGGUGUGCUGAGUUGCCUUUUUAUGGUCGUGCAAAAAUCAGUCCAGGUGACUGAAUAUUACAGAAGGCUAUAGCUCAUGGUUUACACUAGAACUCAUGCAAAAUUGCCUCUGAAAAGCAACUGAUCUUUAUCCUUAACAGGAAGGAGGGCAUCUGAUAACUUUCUACCACAGUAUCUUUGAAGUGCACUCUAGCUUCUUGAACUCAAUUCUUCAUCUGAUGGAGUUUCGCAACCAAAUGUAGGACAGAUUUAAAAAAAAAUGCUGAGGCUGAUGUUAAGUCUACAUUUUAUAAUGGUUUGCACUUCCUGGUAGUUGGAUGUAUGUUUAAAUAGACAUUUCAGGGCCUUAGUUUAGAGUAUCAUUAAUUGUAAAUCCAAAACAUUUUUGUGCAAGACUGGUAAAGAUUUGGUAUGAGGUUCAGCUUAGGUUUGUGUGAUCCAUCCCAUCAGGGCAGUAGGUGUAGCUGUAAUACCUUGUGUUUGAUUUCAUGGAAGACUCAGUCACAGGACACAGGAAUCCUGUUAUAUCCCAACUAUCACUAUCUUCUCCUGAACAGCAAAUUCUUAGAGUAUUGAACUAUCUGCCAGAGUUCAAGAAGCAUUUGAACAAUGCCCUCAGAUACAUGAUGUGCUUCCUGGGGCUGUCCUGUGCAGGGCCAAGUGUUGGAUUUUGAUGAUUCUUAUGGGUGCCUUCCAACUCAAGAUAUUCUGUGAUCUCUAGUGUUACUGAAUAGUUACAUUUCAGCUAUCAGGCUGUAGCUUAGUGAAACUGGAUCUUCACCUCUUUGCUGAAAUGAUAAUGCUUUACUCUGACUUUUUAAUUGGAUAUAGUACAUUUUCCUUCACUAAUAUUGUUGCAAAAGGUGAAUGGAGUUGCCCUGGUCCCAGAUUUUCUUAUCUAUUUGUAAAUUAGGCUGGGGAACCAUUCUUUUAAUCCCUUGUGGGAAGCAAGCUUGACCUCCACAAAUGGUAACAAAUGUUUCAGUUUGUGGAGCUUGUCACAGCCAUACUCAUUCUGAUUUCUUCAUUUUCCCUACCCAUUUAACUCCCCUAGACAGUUUUACCAUGCACUGCUUUAUUCUUUUCCAAAACAAGAAAAAGAGUAGAUGCUUUUGUCUUUCAUUGUACCCUUUCUAACUAAAAAUAUAUUGCUCUUCUAGAACUGUCUUGAUUUUUUACUUUCAUUAUAAGUGCACUGUCUUAAGUUUCCACCCAUGACAUCAUUCUGGAAGUGUUGUUAUUUUAUUCCUAUUUGCAGAAAAGUUAUGACUUGUGUAGUGGUAUGGUUGCUUGGUUUUGUCAGCUGCACUGAUGUGCAGACAUAGAUAAAACAGUGAAUGGAUGACAUUCAAGAAAAAAUGAAGUACAAGAAAUUAAUUUAGCUUGUCCUUGAGCUGCAAAUUUCUAAUGAACAUAGAGCAAGUGAUGUAAUUGCUAUAUAAUAGGCUAACUUGUUGGAAAGCUGGUAAUUUAAUAUUACUUUAAUAGAAGUGCCCAGUGAUAGGACCCAAGGGAAUGGCCUGAAGUUGUGUCAGGGAAGCUUUAGGCUGCAUAUUAGAAAAAGGUUCUUCACCUGGAGGGUGAAGGCACUGGAACAAGUCUCCAGGGCAGUGGCCACAGCACCAGCCUGGCAGAGUCCAAAGAAGUGUUUGAACAACACUCUCAGGCACUUGGUGUGACUGUUGGGGAUGGUUCUUUGCAGGGCCAGGAGUUGGGCUUGAUGGUCCUUUUGGGUCCCUUCCAGCUCAGUAUAUUCUGUGACUCUGUGAAGCACAUUGAAAUAAUUGGAAGAAUCCUUCAUUUUUUAUUUGAGAUAAUUGCAAGAAAAUUGCAAGUUCCUUUACCUGUGCUGGCAGCAGAGAUUAAGGCAGCUUUCUACCCCUGGUAAAUAUCUCUGCCUAAAAGGAAGAAAAAUGAUAGAUGCUUAGAAGUUUCUCAGGAAUUACGCUGGGCAUCUAAGAACUGUUUUGAUCUAGUGACAUUUGAAAGGUUGAGAGAUAGUCCAGGUGAUGAAAGAGGUAGACAGACCUCAGAACAGUCUAAACAGACUGAACCAUACAACCCUGAGAAGAGAUAUUUGUGGGGUGCUUGGUGAGAAGGAGAUUGGUGACAAAAAUUGUCAAUUUUUCUGAUUAUCUGUAUGUUCAAGAAAGCAGAAUUCUGAGCUUUCUUUUUGAUACAAAGAACAGUGCUGAAGACUAAGAUCCUUCCUGAGUUUUCCUUUUAAAAUCAAAUAAUCUGCAUAAAAUCCCACAUUCAUAUAUCACCCAAACCUUUUGCCAGGGUGGGGAUGAAAUUGAUGCCUGAAUACAGUUUAGUCGCACAACUUGUGCAGGUAGCACAUCACUACAGAAAAAUCAUUAUUUGCAUUAGACUAUGACUGCAGUUUUGCAGACUAAUUAGCAUUUGCUUUAUGCCUUACAGUACAGCUGGCUUAUGCCUUUUGCUGAAUUUAGCAAAUACAUCCCUCUGGAGAUGCUAAAUUCGGAUAAACUCUAUAAAUUAUGAAGGUUUUAUUAGCCCAUUUUUCUAGAUUAUCAGGGAACUAGGAAUCUUCAUCUAUGUCACAGUUUAACUACCCAGCAGCUAAACCCCACUUAGCUGCUUGCUCACUUUCCCCUGGUGGGAUGGAGGAGAGAAUUGGAAGUGUAAAAGUGAGAAAACAUGUGGGUUGGGAUGAACAGAGCUUAUUAGGGAAGGCGAAAGCCUCACACACAAGCAAAGUAAUACCAAAUAAAGAAUUAAUUCACUGCUUCCCAUCAUCAGGCAGGUGUUCUGUCAUCUCCAGGAAAGCUGGGCCUCCUUUUGCACCCUCAUACUCCUCGCUGAUGGGGUGGGAUGAGAGGCAGAAAAGGCCUUGGCUCUGGGUAAGCGCUGCUCAGAGAUAAGGAAAACAUCCCUGUGUAAUCAGCACUGUUUCCUGUACAAUUCCAAAACACAGCCCUAAACUGGCUGCUCUGAAGCAAAUUAACUCAGCUAACCCAGGACAAUCCAGCUGGUCUAUGACUGAGUAUAAAGGAUAUAAAUUAUAUACUUUGAGGAGAAGCAGGGGAGGUAUGUUUAUCCAGUUACUUAAACAUUUUCCCAUGAGAGUUAUGAGGAAAGAGUUAUGAGGCUAGAGUUAUGAGACCAGAAUUUGCCCACCAUGACCUCUUACAGUAUUCCCAAAAAAGACACAAUCAACAAGGAGGAUUUGGGAAAUGUUUUAAUGUUUUUAGCAUAUCAUACCCAAGAGAUAAACCCCAGGUAGCUCUGUGGCUAGAGAGGAUUAUAUUUUUGUCUGUAUCCAACCACUUCUAUGCUUGGAGGAUGUCCCAUUGCAUAAAACACUGAGAAAAAAGCUAUUGGGAGCCAAGCUGGCCUCAGCAAGAGGUCAGCUUAAUAUGGAGAAUGCAAUGGCCUCUUGCAAAAUGCAGAAGAAAACAAAGCCCUAAAAAGUCUUGUAGAUCACACCAGUAAUGAUAAUUGAAUUGAACAAUAUGAAAUUAAUGAGAGAAACUGGCAAAAUUUCAGGUAAAAUAGAGAAAUUUUAAUAUCCUUAAAAUUACUGUUAACAGGUGGCUCAGUUUGAGCAAAUUAUACAUCAAAAAUCACUGUCAUCAACUUCCAGAAUUUUUGUGACAGAAACCUGGCAGGGCUGCCUCAGUGCUGUUGGAAACAGAAGCAUUGAUGCAGGGAAAACCACUCAGUGUAAAAACUACUAGAGUUUCUAUACCAGAAAAACAAAAAGCAAACAUAGAGUAAUGAAAACCUAUUUCAAAAAUAGUAAAGGUGAAGGUUCUUGUUAUAGCUUGCUACAGCAUGUGUUCCUUGAGGUCUUUAGGGAUGACUAGGUAACAGUUCUAAUGCAAAAUAACAAUGGUGUUAAAGUCUUGGGCAUGUUUGGACUGGUUCUGUGUCUAGUCCAAAUGGUGAAUGAUGAAGUUAGAUGUUGCUGUGAAUACACUGUUGGUUCACGGAGCUCUACUUCCAGAUAUGUAAAAUGCCUUGAAACUCUCCAGAGUGUGCUGCAAAAAGACACUUGAGGAAAAUCCAACUAUUACUGGCAAAUGUACAUGCCCCAUUGGUUGCCAAACAUAGUCAUAACACUGGCAUGUCAGUGGAAACUCAUUGAAGUAGAGAGGGCCAAUAAACACCUCUUCAGUAGCCCACUGGUAAAAGAAACACUCAAUGUUUCAGCAUAAAAGACAGAAACAUUCAGUUUUCAACAUCUGAAGAGCUGCUUCAGUUUCAUACCAGCAGCUGUGAAAAUGAAAAUAUGUAAAAACAUGAGAGAACUACUGAUAAAGCUGGGAAAAUAACAGCAAGAGAGAAACAGCUUAACAGGAAGCAGCAGAAGAAAGGAGACUGAAGGAAGCUUCAUAAAAGCAAAACAAGUGAAGAUAAGCAGUUUCUAAAAAAUGUCCUGAGCUCUGUACAGAGCAGCUAAGCAGGCCACAAGGAGAAGCUGCAAGGUCCAUGGUCUGCUUGCCACUCUCUCCUGGUCUGACACAGAAGAGUUCUGCAGGCACAAGGAUGUACAGGGUGGUGAAAAAGGAAGAAGCACCCGACUCUGUCUUUCAUGAGUCAGAAAAAAGUGACAUGGCUGAAAGAGAGAAACAGGCGCUGAACUGAUGUCCAAGCCACUGAGGAAUAUAAAGUGCCUCGGGCUGGAGGGAAUAAACAUGCAGCUGCCAUAGGAAAAGGAAACAACAAAAAUGGCAUGUUUCUGAGGAGACUGUGAUGGCCACAGAAGAAACUAACUGGGAAAAGAUCACGUUAUUUGCCUGAAAGCCUCAUUCUGCCACUAGUUUCUGGAAAUAGAUUAACUCAGAGGAGUUAGUAGAAUCAUCUCCAAGCCAUUUAUGAGCCUGAGAUUAAAGUGGGCUGGUGGGGUGUGAAGAAUUAUGGAGGUGUGAAGAAAAGAAAAUGCUCCUCUGUAACUGCUGUCAGAUACAGCAUCCAACUGCCCAUAGGCUGAUUGUAUUACAGAGGAAAUGUAAUACAUUUUGUAAUCAUCACAGGAUUUGGUUUUCAGUAUUCUUUAGAUUUGUGUUUUAAUGUAAUUGUCUAGGCCCUCCAGGAGCAUCUUGACCUGUCAUGGCCAUAAUUCCCACCCCCCCAAAAAACCCUUAAAAAUUCCUCCGUACUUUUAAUGAAUUUUGGAAAGAAAAACCAAACAACCAAAAAAAAAAGAAACUAAAACAAAGACACCAACAAAACAAAACAAAACAAAACAAAACAAACAAACAAACAAACAAAAACAACCAAAAAAACUAAAACCAAAACAACUAAGAGAAGUAGCCCUUCUCACUUGCCCAAAACACUACUGAGUAAUAGCAGGUAGUUUGGACAGGUGGACUUCCAUGGCAGCUGUAUUGGACUAAUGCCUGUUCAGAAGAAAAGGUUUAUAUUACUUUAUGUGCCCUUUCUCUUUUCAGUAUUUUCAGUCUUGAGGAUUUUAUGAGUAAAUCCAAGGAAGAUACAUGGGUGUACAGUGACAAUAUCAAAAGUGUACAUUUACUAGAUAAAUAAGUUUUGUUAAGCAAGCCAGGAUCAUGAUAAAGAGAAAAUGAAGGAGAGAAGGAGAAGAAAGACAAACAAAAUGUCAGAAUUUUUGGUGACUGUUGAAAUUAUUCCUUGUCUGACUCCAAAACACAGUCAGAUAGAGAGAGAAAAAGGAAUGCAUUAAGUUGGCAUUGGCAAUUUUAUAUUCAUCCUCUUUGCUACUUUUCUGAUACAGUUAGUUCAUGAGGGAAUCUGAUUCCUCACUUUGCUAUCCAGUUUGAAAUCAGGUAAUCAUGAAAGGUAAUAUCUGUAUCUUUUACUGUGCUAAAUGAAGCAGACUGGCUUAUGUGGCAAGGAAAUAGAUGAUCUAACAGGCAUAUUUAAUAUUUUAGUAUAGUGCUGCUUAGUUUUUUAGUUCCUUACAGAAGUAUUUCCUCAUGUUCCUGGCCAAAGGAAUGUGCCAUGCUCACAACUGCCAACAAUUGCUGUCCUGAAGGGGCAGACAGGCUUUGCUGCUGGUCAGCACCUCCAAGUCCCAUGUAUGAGAUGAGUUAAAGAACAGCAGCAGAUGUCACAGCAUGAUCAAUGCAAACUAGGAGUAAAUCUUAAACAACAUGGACUCCUGUGCACUACCUCAGCGAGGAUAUGGUGUGGACACCAAUCAAUUUGAAAUCACUUUGUCCCAGAUCUUGCAAUGCCUCCAGUCUAUCAGACUCUACCCUGAACAAGUGCAGCAUCUCCAGGCCAGGCCAGUGCUGGUAUUUGAUGCAUUCAACUCUAAAGUCACUCACACAAAUACACAGGGGGAAAAAAUCAUCAAUGAAUGCUUUUCUGGUAAAAACAUCACAGGAGGAGCCCACAGCUCUCCAGAAACUAUAAAAGCAAAAUUUUUAAAAUUAAUAGAUACUUCUUUUCAGCACACUUUAAUAGUCUACAAUAUUUUGCUGUUUGUUCACCUCAUCCCAAGGCAUAUUUACAUGUUUGAUUGUUUCUUUCCCUCUCAGAUUUGCUGUGAUAUCAGCAGUUACAAACGCUAGGCCAAAAAAGUGUUACAAGUGCUAGACCACAUUUAUGGAUUCUCAGCAUCCUAACCCUUUGCAGUUUCUGAAAUUGGGGCCUGUCCCCUUCAGUUCAGUUCAGAUUUACAACUCCAUGCCCUCACCUCCAACUGUGACUCUCUCUUUUAAUUUUUAUUGUCUGCUUCCUCUGCUGGCUGCAGUUGCUUUAAGCAAAUAAAAAUGAAAAAAACCACAAGGGUGGUAGGUACUGCUUUAAAAGGAGUGCCCCCAAAUCUGCCCCUCAAGUGAAUCCUGCAAAGGUUAACCUGCAUGACUGUUGUAAGUGCAGCUGCUGUCACAGGAGCCUGGAAAGACCAGCCCCGUGACCCAUUUUAAACACACAAUCCCUGAUUCAUGGCAGAAAUCUCAUUAUGGACAUGCAUUUUUUUAAGAACUGCUGAGUAGUGGGUAACAACAUAUCUUCAAAUUAAAUCCAGUUCAAUAAAUAGCACAAAAUUAAAUCAUUCAAGGUCUGGUCUGCCUUGAGCUAUACUUAAGCCCUGUGCAUGAUUAACAGAUUAGAAUGUGAAAAAAAGCAGCUUAAUAUGUCCACUGCAGAGAUGCUUUUAUUCCCCUGUGCUACAAAUUGUUUUAUCUCUAGAUACUACACCAGCCUGCUCUGCCUUUAGGCCUGAGCAGAUGGUGUGGCUAGAGGAGCACUGAAUUUCCAAUUUACCCUGAAACCUGGAUAUUUGUGUUGUGUUCUUUUAAUGAUAAUAGUGUUUUCGGUUCUUGCAAAGAGCUAUGUAUUUGUCUGUAUUACACUCAUUACAGUAGUAUUCCCAGUCAAGAUUAACACAAACAAAUGCUGAGAGGCUCAAAUUGGUCCCAAGUCAUGCAGUAAUUCAGUAUAAAAGAAAAGGCAAUUGCAUCCAGAUAGCCCAAAUCCUACCUUCAUGCCUUAUCUGUAACAACACACUAUCUGCUAUGGCGCUGUCACUUACUAUCCUUUAAAUUUGCACUUUAUAUUAGAACAUGUAAAGCUUAAGUAUUCCUCACAAUAAACUUUAAUUCAUUAACAAAGCCAGCAUUCCAAGCUUUUAUUCUGUUAAAUGGAGCCCACUUUUAUGGAUAUGCAUAGCUGCAUGACUACACCACUGCACUUAAAAUAAAAGUAACUAAAGUAGUUACUAAACUAAAGUAACUAUAUAAAGCUCAAUACGACAGAAUAUAAUUUAAAUUCUUCUGGCAUGGCCCGACCAUGUUUCACUUUCAGCAGAAACAGAGGUGAGAGGUCUCAGCCUUGAGCAGGAUGAAACCAUUUGCAAUAUUACAUAUGUUGUGCAUGGCACUGAGGACAAAGAGAAUCAGGCACACACUGAGACCAUGCUCAGGUCUCAAUUAGAAAUAUCAGUGAUAUUCCAGGCUCAGGUGCCUGCAAUAUCACUGCAAAGCCUUUGGCACUUAAAUAACCAGAAAAUCAUUGUCAUCAUUUGCAUUUCAUAGCCGAAACUCACUUAAAUAUAGGGAUAUAUCAGAAUAGCAAUGAGAGGCACUGGCAUAUUCAUGUAUUUUUAAAUAUGAAAAAGACCACCCUGCUGUAGCAGGUGACAUUUUGCAGUCUGCUCUGAUACCCUCCUUCAAUCAUGCCAGCUACUUCCAACAGAUGUUUUCUACCAAAGUGCCUGAACAAAUUAGAAUCCUGCUGGCACAGGGAUUUUUCAAAUUGAGCAGUGGGAUUUUAAUUUAGUGAUUCUCUUAAACAUAACACCUAAAACCCCUCUGUGGACUUACGAGCUACAUGGCCAAGUCAGACUUGCCUCAGGUACAAAUGACAAUCGGCCUGCAGCAGCUGUAAAAGCAGUGGGCUGGUGAGUACCACUGCAGGGUGGUGGUAUGUCACCUGCAGCUGCUGAGGCACAGGCUCAUGUCAGAAGAGAAAAGCUGUCCUAGGAAUAGGUAUAUUGUGAUACUGUUUCCUUUUGGUAAGGUUUCGUGCAGUUUUCUUCUACUGAGAUUUCAGAAAUUAGUCAGGUGAUAAAUGACCCAGUUUUGAACAGGAAGGUUACCCCAACUUGCUAUGCUACUGUGAGCAUAGUAUGUGUAGUCUUCUGAUUUUAAGUACAUCUAAAGAAGAGAAGAGUUGAUUAAAUAAAUCAUUAGCUCUUUUUUGUAAAUUUUUGAUGAAUUGAUGUUUGAGCAGCAAGCUUUGUUCUGUUAGAGGUUUUCUCCUAACAGCAAUUUCUGUAGUGACUUCUACUAAAACAAAGGCAAUGUGGUUUUAAGACCAUUCAGUGUGAUAAGGCUGUGCUGAGAAAUUAAGAACCUGUUUGUAUAUGUCAUAAUACUUUUCUGAAGAAAUAAAUCAGAACAGCAGUCCCUAACGUUGAAAAUUGUGAGUGCUUUUUCGGUUGCUUGCAUAAAAAUGACUGCAUUUUUAGUGCUCUGCUUCAAAGUCAAGUGGCCACGAUUCUGUUACCUGAUUGAUCUGUAAAUUUCGGAGUUUGGAUUGUGCAAAACCCCUAAAAAUAAUCAAGUGACUCUGAGACAUCUAAUAUUUAAGGAGAGACUGGCUUUCCAGACUCCUCAAAACAGAAAAUCACAGGAAAACAUGCCAAUGUCAACAGCUAAGCCUCCCAGAUGCUCUCCAGUUCACCUUGAAGCUGCAAGAAAACAUCAUUUUAUGUGAUGAGCUCAUUGUCUGCAGUGCCAGACUCUGUCCUUCCAGAAUCCCACGUGCUGGGGAAAGAGUCAGUGAGCCCAGCUUUUCCCACCUUUUAUUUUCAGUCAUUUAUUAUCACUGCCAAAGGGACAGCCAAAGCCAUAUUUUACUCUUUUUUUUUAUAGCAACAAGGGCACUGACAGCUUUGCACAUGCCAGAUGUAAGAGGCCCAUGUCUAUACACAGCCCAGCCAACAUCUGCAGCCAAAAAGACACAGCCAAAAAGAUUAGUCCCAAAGUCUCAGCAUCUUUCAAACAUGUCAGAUUUCCUGUGAAUAUGCUGAUCAGCAGGGCUCCUGCAAUUGGUCUGAAUAUGUACAACUAACCAUGUUAAGUUUGUCCAGGAUGGCUGGAAAGGCAACAGGGUUGGCCAACAAAAGUUCAAAGACAGCAGAAGCACAGAGGAUAUCAGCAGCACUCCAACCAGAGCUGCAGGGAGGUCUCCAGCUGCAUAGUGAUUUUUAGAGUUGAAUGCUGUAUGACUGGGGGAGGGAAAAAAAAAAAAAAAAAAAGCUGUCAGUAAGGAAGGAGAGUGUAGGUGAGAAAAUUUUCCCUAGAUUUAACAAGAUCCUAAAUAUUUUCAUCAAGACAAUCUGUGAACAGUUCUUUGCAUCUAAAAUACCCUAGAGAUUUGAGACUGUUGUGUGGUCUUGUUUAAUUAAUGUUUGUUACAAGACCUACUGAAACUAUUUUUCUCAUGUUCAUAUUAUAAAGACUCUGUGAUAGUAAUGUGAGACCAACAGGAAUAAUCCCAUCUGCAUAAAAAGUAAAGGGAGAUCUGUAACUUAUUGAAUUUUAUUGCAUUUUAACAAAUGCAAAUUUGUUAAAUACAUACAUAUUUUUAUA